UUCCUGGAUCCAGGUGACCAGGUCGGACAGCUGCGGUCAACGCAAACAACGAGUAAACGCAAGGCUGCAAGCAGAAAGGGUCAACGCGAACAACGAGUAAACGCAAGGCUGCAAGAAGAAAGGCGCAAGGAUAUGGCCUUUGCUGAAUCAAUAUGGACCUUUAUGCCAGGAAAGAAGGGAUCAGUUGUUCAGGGGCCAAACACUAGAACUCUAACAAAUGCUCAUGAUGGUAUCUUGGAUGAUAUUAAUUGUGCUCAGAUUGCUGGGAAGCAUGUGGGAGAUCAUUCCAAUUGUGCUAAUGUCAUCAAGCAGACAACAAUUUUGGAAAAUCAAUUUGGGUUACCUUCACUUGUUGAUAAGGCCACAGCUAACACAACAAAUCUUGUGGCAUCUGCGUCAUCUUCCAUGACACCCGAUGAAAUAGGAGAGGGGAAAAACAAUCCAGAUGAGGUGUUUGUAUGUAUAUGUGGAGAGAAGCUUUUAUUCCAUACAAACUUCAAUACAACGGCAGUAAAAGAACUUGUCGUAUUUGCUCUCCAGAGGAGGAACAUCAAGUUAAUUCCAAUGGAAUAUGAGCGUAUGGAUGAACUUAUUGACCGUGCGGUCCGUGACAAUAAUAAUGACCUUUUCUAUUAUGUGAACCUUCCCCCAGAAUUGAUAAACCCUUAUAAGGAUACAUGGCAAUAUUUGAAUGAUACUUUUGGAGAUCCUCCUUCUUGGAUCGCUGAUAUCAGCUGGGUUCCUGACAUGUGGAAGACAUACAAUUAUAGUCCUAAUAACAACUCAACCACGUACCAUUUUGCUGCUAUCUUGCUUUCUGAGGUGGAAGAGGACGGUUUCAUGGAGUCCUUUUAG
rnacentral:lncRNA from 1 species